rnacentral:rRNA from 1 species
UACGAAGGGGGCUAGCGUUGCUCGGAAUCACUGGGCGUAAAGCGCACGUAGGCGGCUUCUUAAGUCAGGGGUGAAAUCCUGGAGCUCAACUCCAGAACUGCCCUUGAUACUGAGGAGCUCGAGUCCGGAAGAGGUGAGUGGAACUGCGAGUGUAGAGGUGAAAUUCGUAGAUAUUCGCAAGAACACCAGUGGCGAAGGCGGCUCACUGGUCCGGUACUGACGCUGAGGUGCGAAAGCGUGGGGAGCAAACAGGG